UUUGAUCCUGGCUCAGAUUGAACGCUGGCGGCAUGGCCUUACACAUGCAAGUCGAACGGUAACAGGUCUUUCGGGAUGCUGACGAGUGGCGAACGGGUGAGUAAUACAUCGGAACGUGCCUAGUAGUGGGGGAUAACUACUCGAAAGAGUGGCUAAUACCGCAUGAGAUCUAUGGAUGAAAGCAGGGGACCUUCGGGCCUUGUGCUACUAGAGCGGCCGAUGGCAGAUUAGGUAGUUGGUGGGAUAAAAGCUUACCAAGCCUACGAUCUGUAGCUGGUCUGAGAGGACGAUCAGCCACACUGGGACUGAGACACGGCCCAGACUCCUACGGGAGGCAGCAGUGGGGAAUUUUGGACAAUGGGGGAAACCCUGAUCCAGCAAUGCCGCGUGCAGGAUGAAGGCCUU
rnacentral:rRNA from 1 species